rnacentral:rRNA from 1 species
UAAGGUGGUUAUAGCACCGGGGAUCCACCUCUUCCCAUCCCGAACAGAGAAGUUAAGCCCGGUCACGCCAAUGGUACUGCGCAAGUGGGAGAGUAGGCAGCCGCCACUU